AUCGCGAAGGGCCUGUUGACGUUAUUUUCGGUCGAUCAGUUUAACCUAUCGCUGUUCGGAAAAUUGUAUUCUUGGGGUAUUAUAUCGUUGAGAUGUUCAGUCAGUACGUCUAUUCGAACGCUGAAGUAUUUAAUUUGCUAGCAUAUUUGGUCGUCGAGAAUUGAACUGAAUCGAAGCUCAGAUUUUCCUUGAAAAUUCUGUCGCAUAUACCCGUCGUGAGUUUCGCUGCUAAUACCCGAACAAGUAACAUUUAAGAAGGAAAGAAUCAGUUACGUCAAACAAAGAUCGCUACGUGAUCUUGAAAUCGCAUGCGGAACUGGGAUCGGGAAGCAACGCGGUCAAGCUUCGUUCUGACUCCCUUUUGGGUCUCUGAAGCAGCAACCUCCUCGCGUUCAGGGCUCGGAACAAGAUUUCGUCUGCAAAUUGUUGAAAUUGGUAUUCCUCCGAUCGGAGGUCCCGCAGGGAGGGGCCCGUGAGUGAGUACGGGGGGUAGCGUAAAACGGAAUUUAUAAUUUCAAUUAUUUUUAAUUAUAGUUUGUAAGCUAAUAAAACAAUAU